UGCGUUGUCACAGGAUGGGGAGCACAUGAAGAAGACAGAGAAAAGAGUAAAAAACUGCAUCAGCUGGAAGUCCCUGUCCUGGUGCUUGACACAUGUCAGACCUAUUACAUAAAUCUGCCCAGUAAAGUGACUCAGAGGAUGAUCUGUGCUGGAUUCCCUCUGGAAGAAGGCAAGGACUCAUGCACAGGUGAUUCUGGUGGCCCAUUAGUUUGUCCUUCAGAAGAUGACUCAGGAUUUUAUACCCUUCAUGGAAUCACUAGCUGGGGCUUGGGCUGCGGAAGGAAGAGCUACCCAGGAGUAUACACAAAUGUCGCUGUUUUUGUGGACUGGAUCAAGCAGAGUGUUAACACUAGUGAUCUUCCCAUGUUCAUGGUGUAGCUGUCAAAACAGCAGUUCUGAUGGACUACAUUGUUUUACAAUGCAAAUGUCAUUGAAAGCAACGUAAUACGGUGAAGCGUAUUAGAUUGUGAUUGGUGAACAGAUUACAAAGUAGCUGU